AAACAAUAUAAUUUCAAUUUUAUAUGUAUAAUUUAGUCUCAAAUAAUUUUAAAUAGUAUAAUUUAGUCUAAAUAAUACAACUUCAUCUCAAACAAUACAAUACGACUUUUUCUUUUUCUUUCUUCUUUGCUUUUUGAUUCUUUCUGUAGCAAUCACGGUAUAGGAUGAUCUUCUCAGAGAAAAGAAAUAUUUUUUUCUUUCUUUUCUACCUUUUGUGUUCUUUUUUGUUAACGCGCUUCCUCCCUCGCCCUUUGCCGCAACAGCCUCCUCCCGGCUCAAUGUAUUUUCUCUCUAUGUUCUCCUUAAAUACUGCAAGACUUUCACGGCCAUUGCUGUCCAUGAUCAUGCUCUCUACUGUAGCUUCACCUUCGUGAUCUAUACUAUAUCUUAACUCGCGCCACUGUCGCCGAUGUCAAUGGAGGUGUGGGCAAGGUAGGAAAGAGGAGCAUGACGCAGAUACAAGGAUGGUGGAUGAGAAAGGGGAAGGAAAUGAAGCGAGAGAAGAAAGAGAGAAAGGGAAGGCGAGGAGAAGAGAGAUGAAGAGGGAAAAAAAAAAAAAGGGUAAACUUCAAAUACCAUCCCUGUGGUUUCGCACGUUCUCACUUUAGUACUUAUGAUUUUAAAUGUAUCAAUUUAAUACCCUGUAAUUUUAUUUUUCUUUUUUUGUCAGCCCCUUCGUUAACUUUUCAUUAAAUCAUAUAUUAAAACCUUCAGAUAUCCCACCUAUAGUUUAUCGAAUAUUCACUUUAGUACCCUUUAAUUUUAACUUUGUCAUUGAUUUAAUAAAAAAAUUAGUAAAAAGAAUAACAAAACGAGAAAAAUAAAAUUACAGAGUACAAAAGUGAAAAGCUUUAAACCACAGGUACUAAAGUGAGAAAGUACAAAACCUCAGAAGUGAUAUUUGAAGUUUUCUCAAAAAACAAA
rnacentral:lncRNA from 1 species